GUUGAACGCUGGCGGCAUGCUUUACACAUGCAAGUCGAACGGUAACACUCCUUCUUGUGCUGACGAGUGGCGAACGGGUGAGUAAUGCAUCGGAAGGUGCCCAGAGGUGGGGGAUGAGGCAGCGAAAGGUGAGCUAAUACCGCAUGUGAUCGGAGGAUGAAAGCGGGGGACCAGGGGGCAAUGUUUGGCCUCGCGCCUUUGGAGCGGGCGAUUUCGGAUUAGGUAGUUGGUGGGGUAAAGGCCUACCAAGCCGACGAUCUGGAUCCGGUGUGAGAGGCAGACAAGCCACACUGGGACUGAGACACGGCCCAUAGUCCUACGGGAGGCAGCAGUGGGGAAUUUUGGACAAUGGGCGCAAGCCUGAUCCAGCAAUGCCGCGUGUGGGAAGAAGGCCUUCGGGUUGUAAACCGCUUUUGUACGGAACGAAAAGCAUCUGGCUAAUACCUGGGGCUGAUGACGGUACCGUAAGAAUAAGCACCGGCUAACUACGUG
rnacentral:rRNA from 1 species